GAAGAUCAAAUGGCUGGAGGUUCCCAAUCAACACUUUGAUUGUGCGGAAACAUUGUUAAGCAUUCUAAGGUUUUAGAAGGCUCGAGAGUGUUUUCGCUACGAAACAAUACCAGGUAAUCUAAAGUCUUAGGCGGAUCGAUGUAGUGGAGGACUCGACGAUGAUCACAUGUCUUGGACCGUUUCGGUUAUGGUUUUUAUUUAAAUUCUCGUUUCUUUUCUGGAUAUUUUUGUAAAUGUGGACUUUUCAGACUAUUGUUUAUACUUGGGUUUGACUGUGCUUUAUGAUUUUAAUAUUGCAGAACUCGACAAAAGCUCAGAUUUUACCAAAAA